UCAUUUAAAGAAAGCGUAAUAGCUCACUGGUCGAGUCGGCCUGCGCGGAAGAUGUAACGGGGCUAAACCAUGCACCGAAGCUGCGGCAGCGACGCUUAUGCGUUGUUGGGUAGGGGAGCGUUCUGUAAGCCUGCGAAGGUGUGCUGUGAGGCAUGCUGGAGGUAUCAGAAGUGCGAAUGCUGACAUAAGUAACGAUAAAGCGGGUGAAAAGCCCGCUCGCCGGAAGACCAAGGGUUCCUGUCCAACGUUAAUCGGGGCAGGGUGAGUCGACCCCUAAGGCGAGGCCGAAAGGCGUAGUCGAUGGGAAACAGGUUAAUAUUCCUGUACUUAGUGUUACUGCGAAGGGGGGACGGAGAAGGCUAUGUUGGCCGGGCGACGGUUGUCCCGGUUUAAGCGUGUAGGCUGGUUUUCCAGGCAAAUCCGGAAAAUCAAGGCUGAGGCGUGAUGACGAGGCACUACGGUGCUGAAGCAACAAAUGCCCUGCUUCCAGGAAAAGCCUCUAAGCAUCAGGUAACAUCAAAUCGUACCCCAAACCGACACAGGUGGUCAGGUAGAGAAUACCAAGGCGCUUGAGAGAACUCGGGUGAAGGAACUAGGCAAAAUGGUGCCGUAACUUCGGGAGAAGGCACGCUGAUAUGUAGGUGAAGCGACUUGCUCGUGGAGCUGAAAUCAGUCGAAGAUACCAGCUGGCUGCAACUGUUUAUUAAAAACACAGCACUGUGCAAACACGAAAGUGGACGUAUACGGUGUGACGCCUGCCCGGUGCCGGAAGGUUAAUUGAUGGGGUUAGCGCAAGCGAAGCUCUUGAUCGAAGCCCCGGUAAACGGCGGCCGUAACUAUAACGGUCCUAAGGUAGCGAAAUUCCUUGUCGGGUAAGUUCCGACCUGCACGAAUGGCGUAAUGAUGGCCAGGCUGUCUCCACCCGAGACUCAGUGAAAUUGAACUCGCUGUGAAGAUGCAGUGUACCCGCGGCAAGACGGAAAGACCCCGUGAACCUUUACUAUAGCUUGACACUGAACAUUGAGCCUUGAUGUGUAGGAUAGGUGGGAGGCUUUGAAGUGUGGACGCCAGUCUGCAUGGAGCCGACCUUGAAAUACCACCCUUUAAUGUUUGAUGUUCUAACGUUGACCCGUAAUCCGGGUUGCGGACAGUGUCUGGUGGGUAGUUUGACUGGGGCGGUCUCCUCCUAAAGAGUAACGGAGGAGCACGAAGGUUGGCUAAUCCUGGUCGGACAUCAGGAGGUUAGUGCAAUGGCAUAAGCCAGCUUGACUGCGAGCGUGACGGCGCGAGCAGGUGCGAAAGCAGGUCAUAGUGAUCCGGUGGUUCUGAAUGGAAGGGCCAUCGCUCAACGGAUAAAAGGUACUCCGGGGAUAACAGGCUGAUACCGCCCAAGAGUUCAUAUCGACGGCGGUGUUUGGCACCUCGAUGUCGGCUCAUCACAUCCUGGGGCUGAAGUAGGUCCCAAGGGUAUGGCUGUUCGCCAUUUAAAGUGGUACGCGAGCUGGGUUUAGAACGUCGUGAGACAGUUCGGUCCCUAUCUGCCGUGGGCGCUGGAGAACUGAGGGGGGCUGCUCCUAGUACGAGAGGACCGGAGUGGACGCAUCACUGGUGUUCGGGUUGUCAUGCCAAUGGCACUGCCCGGUAGCUAAAUGCGGAAGAGAUAAGUGCUGAAAGCAUCUAAGCACGAAACUUGCCCCGAGAUGAGUUCUCCCUGACUCCUUGAGAGUCCUGAAGGAACGUUGAAGACGACGACGUUGAUAGGCCGGGUGUGUAAGCGCAGCGAUGCGUUGAGCUAACCGGUACUAAUGAACCGUGAGGCUUAACCUU
rnacentral:rRNA from 1 species